GAUGAAGAACGUAGCGAAAUGCGAUAAGUAAUGUGAAUUGCAGAUUUCAGUGAAUCAUCGAAUCUUUGAACGCACCUUGCGCCUUGUGGUAUUCCACAAGGCAUGCCCGUUUGAGUAUCAUUAAAUCAUCAACUCUAAAACCUUUGUGGUUUUUUUAGAGCUUGGUCUUGAGGGUUUUGCAGGCUUUUUUUUCGAAUCUGCUCCCUUUAAAUGCAUUAGCGAGACUUCCCUAUGCUGAACCGUCUCUUUGACGUGAUAAUUAUCUGCGUCGAAUUUUGGUUCUCGUUGGGCUUGCUUCUAAUCGUCUGUUAAAGACAAAACGGAUUUGGGUGCAUAUAUGCGCCUUUUUCCAAAACCUUUUUUGAUCUCAAAUCGGGUAGGACUACCCGCUGAACUUAAGCAUAUCAAUAAGCGGAGGA
rnacentral:misc_RNA from 1 species